rfam:Puccinia graminis f. sp. tritici CRL 75-36-700-3 supercont2.113 genomic scaffold, whole genome shotgun sequence.
GUCUCCGUGGCGCAAUUGGUUAGCGCGUUCGACUGUUACCACCACACGACAUCGAGAGGUUGACAGUUCAAUCCUGUCCGGGGACG